CCUACGGGAGGCAGCAGUGGGGAAUCUUGCACAAUGGGCGCAAGCCUGAUGCAGCAACGCCGCGUGAGUGAAGAAGGAUUUCGGUUCGUAAAGCUCUGUCAUCAGGGAAGAAAAUGACGGUACCUGACUAAGAAGCCCCGGCUAACUACGUGCCAGCAGCCGCGGUAAUACGGAGGGGGCAAGCGUUAUCCGGAAUUACUGGGUGGAAAGGGAGCGUAGGCGGUUGUCUAUGUCUGAAGUGAAAGCCCUAGGCUUAACCGUUGGAGUGCGUUGGAAACUGGGAGACUGGAGUGCAGGAGAGGAAAGUGGAAUUCCUAGUGUAGCGGUGGAAUGCGUAGAUAUAAGGAGGAACACCAGUGGCGAAGGCGGCUGUCUGGACUGUAACUGACGCUGAGGCUCGAAAGCGUGGGGAGCAAACAGGAUUAGAUACCCUUGUAGUC
rnacentral:rRNA from 1 species